rnacentral:rRNA from 1 species
AUACGGAGGGUGCAGGCGUUGUCCGGAUUUAUUGGGUUUAAAGGGUGUGUAGGCGGUGUAUUAAGUCAGUGGUGAAAGCCUGCGGCUCAACCGUAGAACUGCCAUUGAUACUGACACACUUGAGUAUGGACGAGGUAGGCGGAAUUUAUGGUGUAGCGGUGAAAUGCAUAGAUACCAUAAAGAACACCGAUAGCGAAGGCAGCUUACUGGGCCAUAACUGACGCUGAGGCACGAAAGCGUGGGGAGCGAACAGGAUUAGAAACCCCGGUAGUCC